rnacentral:rRNA from 1 species
UACGUAGGAUGCAAGCGUGUCCGGAAUUAUUGGGCGUAAAGAGCGCGCAGGCGGUAUGACAAGUCAGAUGUGAAAGAGGCCGGCUUAACCGGCAAGGGUCAUUUGAAACUGUCAGACUAGAGUGCAGCAGAGGAUAGUGGAAUUCCCGGUGUAGUGGUGAAAUGCGUAGAUAUCGGGAGGAACACCAGUGGCGAAGGCGACUAUCUGGGCUGCAACUGACGCUGAGGCGCGAAGGCUAGGGUAGCAAACAGG